rnacentral:lncRNA from 1 species
GUCUUAGGUAUAUUCUUCCCUAGGUAUUAGGGAAUUAGUUCAUAAUCCUUAAUGAAAACAUCUCAAAGUCAGAAUAACCACAAGACAUAAAGAAACUCAUGAAAAAUUCGAAAAAAAUUAAAAGGAGAUCUUCAAUCUUAAUGGAGAUCUGCUUUUGAGUUGGCUCCGAUGGUGUUCUUUGAGUGUUUUCUUCGAUCUUCUCCGAUUGCCCCCUUAUCUCUUCUUUUAUUUGGUAUUUAUAGACUUUAGAAUGCUCAAAAAGUCUAAAAAUUGUGUUUUUUCGCAUGUUAACAAGGUGCGAAAUCAACACGAGCUAGCACAUGGACAUGUGUCCAACCUGUGUGGGUCACAUAGGCGCAUGCCUUGUAAUACCCCUAACCCGUGUCCGUCACCAGAACAGGGUUAUGGAGCAUUACUGGACCCAUCGGACAAUUUACAAUUAAUAUACAAAUAAUUAUCAAAUAUAAUAUAAAAUAAUCUUAAAGUCUCUUAGUUAGGAGUGAUUCAGGACUAAUUCGAAAACUCGAGAAUUUUUUUUUUGCGAACUCAAUAUAACUCCUUUAUAAAUAUCUAGCCUUCCCUGCAAUUUCAACCGCAACCAAUUUACAAUCAAUAUGGAAACCAAUACAUUUUCACAUUCAAACAUAUUUAAAUCAUGCCUAAAACAUUUACUUAUCAAAUUGAUCAACAACAUUCAUAAUACUAUAUAAAAGUUAACUAAUAAACUUCGUUCAUUUCAUUUCAAUUUUAGUACCAAACUAACUCAAAAGUAUAUCAAUUUAACUUACUAUAACCAUCAAUUCAUCUUAAGUUCAAACAUGCAUUUUCUCAACACUUAAACAACCAAUUCAUAUGGCCAAAUACACACCAACCUUUAUAAGCUAAAUCUAAUGGCUAAUAUCAUAACUCAAAACAUACCAAGAUGACACUAGCCUAUACAUGCCAUAUACCAUAUAUAUACAAUUCAAAAGUACCAACUUAGAUGUCCGAUAAGGUGGUGAUGUUCCUGACGACUUUUGGAUCCGAGCUAGCCUUGAUUCUCUAUAAAACAUAAGAAAAUAACACAAAGUAAGCUUCAUAGCUUAGUAAGCUCAUAAGUGAAUAAUUCAAUACAUCAAAUACAUACAAUUCAACUAAUUGUCCAUAACAUUACCAUAUAUACAAUUACAACAAACCUUUCUCAUGUCUUAAAACAUGAUCAAAUACCAUUUCAUUAUCUUUCUCUAUUAAAUACUCGAAUAGGUUCUGUAUGUACCUGUACCGUCUCGUACUAACCUCUUUCUCAAUCAUCUCAUUCAUUUACCCGUUGAACCAUUCGGAAUCGAAAUCGGAUACUCAAAUGUCUCAUAUGAUAAAUACCUAUACCAUGUCCCAUAGCCAAAUCAAGGUAACUUCUCCAAAGAACUAUUAUCAUGGCCCGAAGCCAAAUCGAUAUAAAUCACACUCGAAGUGCUAAUAUCAUGGCCCGAAGCCAACUCAUCCUAUAUGCAUGGCCCGAAACCAAAUCGGUAUAUCAACUUAUAACAUUUCACAAGUAUCCAAUUUUAUUCCUAAGGUUCAACCGAGAUUUCUAGCUUGUCGAUUCUAUCUUCGAAUAUAUCCGUAAAGUCAUAUUUACAAUUCAUACAUUAAUGAAAAUCUCGUAAUCACAAUUUAGGCAUAAUCAAAUAAUUUAACAUACAUUAUAAUGAAAUCAUCACAUUACGAACUUACCUCGUACUCGGAAUUGACGAAUCGGAUCGAUUACUCGAUAAUUUUUCCUUUCCCCUAAUCUAAUUCCGAAUUCCUCUUUUCUUAAUUUAUAUGUAUUCAAAAUUAACUCAUUUAAUCAUAUAAUCAUUAAAUUCAGUCCAAAAACACAUAUUUAAGCCAAUUUAUACUUUGGCCCUAAACUUUCACAUUUCUUACAAUUUAGUCCCUAUUUCACAAAUACACAAAAUUCAUAAAAUUCAACAAGAGCCAUGCUUGGCCGAAUUACCAUAGUGCCCCUAGCAACCCAUAUUUCAUAUUUAUUCACACUUUUAACCCCACAUUUUUAUCUUUUCAUAAUUUAAUCCCUAAUUUGCAUUUUCAUCAAAAAAACCACUUUAUAAAAUAUGAAAAUCUAACAUCAAAUAUUCAUAUUCACCAUUAAACAUCAAAGAACACAUAAGCUCAUCAAUGGAAACUAUCAAAAUCUUUAAUAGUUUUGAAAUCGAAGGCACGGGCUAGCUAGUACUAGAUGCAACGAUCACAAAAACAUAGAAAUAAUUAAAAACUGAAUAAAAAUGCAUACCAAAUAGGCAAGAAUGAGAUUGCCGAAUGCUUAAGCAUAAAAAUAGCUUCCAAAUCCCUAACUUUCGGUUGAAAGUGAUGAAAGAAAG